rnacentral:rRNA from 1 species
GACGAACGCUGGCGGCGUGCUUAACACAUGCAAGUCGAACGAUGAACCCGGAGCUUGCUCCGGUGGAUUAGUGGCGAACGGGUGAGUAACACGUGAGUAACCUGCCCUUGGCUCUGGGAUAACUGCGGGAAACUGUAGCUAAUACCGGAUACGACCCUCGGCGGCAUCGCCAGGGGGUGGAAAGAAUUUCGGUCAAGGAUGGACUCGCGGCCUAUCAGCUAGUUGGUGAGGUAACGGCUCACCAAGGCGACGACGGGUAGCCGGCCUGAGAGGGUGACCGGCCACACUGGGACUGAGACACGGCCCAGACUCCUACGGGAGGCAGCAGUGGGGAAUAUUGCACAAUGGGCGCAAGCCCGAUGCAGCAACGCCGCGUGAGGGAUGACGGCCUUCGGGUUGUAAACCUCUUUUAGUAGGGAAGAAGCGAAAGUGACGGUACCUGCAGAAAAAGCACCGGCUAACUACGUGCCAGCCGCCGCGGUAA